AUUCGUUCACCACCUUGGCUCUCUCUUUAUUUUCAUUUUUCUCGCACUCUCCUACUCCCACCCUCAUUCUCUACCACAUCUCCAUCUCAUCUCUCUCCUUUCGCCAUCACCGAAACCACCUCUGCAACCAACCUUCACCAUCGUCGGGCGCCACCAUGCACAACCCUCACAACCAGCAGCAGCACCACACGACUCUCCUUACCAUUCUCACGCCAGCAAAGUAUAGAGCAGCAGGAAGGGUCCUCAAAUCUCAACACGGGUUCUCUUGAGGUCUCCCAGCUUUGAACACAUCUCUCUCGCACUCUCCUGCUCUCGGCUCCCUCUUCUCUCCCUAAACACCAACCGCUUAACCACACAGCUUCCCUUUCAUCCACGGCACAACAUAGCCGCUCAACCGCUCAGCCAUCACCCGUUGUCUCUUCUUCCUCCUCUACCUUCCAUCUCCCAAUCCUGAAGACCAGAUCAUAUCAGAUCCGUAGCCGCCGCACCACCAACCUCUAGCUCUGUCCAAACGAGUACAGCCAUAAAAAAAAAAACAGAGCAUCCGUAGCCCCUGCUUUCCCAUCCCUGGCGAACCAACGUUGCGCCAAACACUCCUGUCACCAUUGAGUUCACCGCCCACGCCCCUCGCCAUCGCCAAAGCUAGCACCAGCGUCAUCCGUACACACAACUACUGCACUUUCUGGUCACCAGUUCCGACCAUCACUAACGCAGAUCCAACGGACCUCAAGCCCCCGUACGGCCUCUCCAUCACACCGGCGUCACGACUGCACCAGCUAUAACCACCAUUGUCUCAACCCUCCUUGGCAACCCAACUCCUCCACGGUCAUUCUUAGCUCCCACCGAUCCUCAAGUCCGAUCCGGCCCAAUAGGCUUACAGCGUCUGCAACUCCGCCUCCUUCGUCGUUGUUGCCUCUCCUACAUCCCAGCACCUUCACCAUCUCUUGCCACUUCACGGUCGUUCAAUCCAUCACCAACCGUAGCACCAACUCCGGCUCCUUGACCACCUGCAAGCUUCAAUGCUAUUAAAUCACAUGCAGCACCACCUCAUGUAAGCUUCAAGUCAACGAGGUCUCAGUUCUGACGAGCCGAACCGGGUAUACGGGACCAAUCCACCAGAGCACUUCCUUCUUCGUCGCCGCAGAUCAGACUUGCAGCAGUGUCGUCGAGGCGUGGGCCUGGAGAGGGAGACAAACCCUGUAAAAUAGUCUCGGACUGGCUUAGACCCGGUUAGAAAAGUUAAGUGCUCCACCCUGGUAAGUUGUGUUGUAUUAGGUGCCACUACACCCGUUUAAGUGAGCUGUAGUGGAAUCCUUGUGCUGGUGUAGCCAAGGCGGGGACAUAGGAAAUUUGGCCGAACCUCUAUAAUAUAUUGCGUGUAUUGUUU